UCUACGGGAGGCUGCAGUGGGGAAUAUUGCACAAUGGGGGAAACCCUGUUGCAGCGACGCCGCGUGAGUGAAGAAGUAUUUCGGUAUGUAAAGCUCUAUCAGCAGGGAAGAAAUAGCGACCUUUGGGUCGCCAGACGGUACCUGAUUAAGAAGCCCCGGCUAACUACGUGCCAGCAGCCGCGGUAAUACGUAGGGGGCAAGCGUUAUCCGGAUUUACUGGGUGUAAAGGGAGCGUAGACGGCAGCGCAAGUCUGAAGUGAAAUGCCGGGGCUUAACCCCGGAACUGCUUUGGAAACUGUGCAGCUAGAGUGCAGGAGAGGUAAGUGGAAGUCCUAGUGUAGCGGUGAAAUGCGUAGAUAUUAGGAGGAACACCAGUGGCGAAGGCGGCUUACUGGACUGUAACUGACGUUGAGGCUCGAAAGCGUGGGGAGCAAACAGGAUUAGAUACCCCAGUAGUC
rnacentral:rRNA from 1 species